AGAGUUUGAUCCUGGCUCAGGAUGAACGCUAGCGGCAGGCCUAAUACAUGCAAGUCGAGGGGUAUAUUACUUUCGGGUAAUAGAGACCGGCGGACGGGUGCGUAACGCGUAUGCAACCUACCUUUUACUGGGGCAUAGCCCGGGGAAACCCGGAUUAAUACCUCAUAGUAUUGUUUGAUGGCAUCUGAAGACAAUUAAAGAUUUAUCGGUAAAAGAUGGGCAUGCGUAAGAUUAGCUAGUUGGUGUGGUAAUGGCGCACCAAGGCGACGAUCUUUAGGGGGUCUGAGAGGAUGAUCCCCCACACUGGUACUGAGAUACGGACCAGACUCCUACGGGAGGCAGCAGUAGGGAAUAUUGGUCAAUGGGCGAGAGCCUGAACCAGCCAUGCCGCGUGCAGGAAGACGGCCUUCUGGGUUGUAAACUGCUUUUAUACGGGAAGAAAAGGCCCUUGCGAGGGACAUUGCCGGUACCGUAUGAAUAAGCACCGGCUAACUCCGUGCCAGCAGCCGCGGUAAUACGGAGGGUGCAAGCGCUGUCCGGAUUUAUUGGGUUUAAAGGGUACGUAGGCGGCCGUUUAAGUCAGUGGUGAAAUCCCGCAGCUCAACUGUGGAACUGCCAUUGAUACUGGACGGCUUGAGUACUGUUAAGGUA
rnacentral:rRNA from 1 species